rnacentral:rRNA from 1 species
UACGUAGGGUGCGAGCGUUAAUCGGAAUUACUGGGCGUAAAGCGUGCGCAGGCGGUCUGUUAAGACCGAUGUGAAAUCCCCGGGCUUAACCUGGGAACUGCAUUGGUGACUGGCAGGCUUUGAGUGUGGCAGAGGGGGGUAGAAUUCCACGUGUAGCAGUGAAAUGCGUAGAGAUGUGGAGGAAUACCGAUGGCGAAGGCAGCCCCCUGGGCCAACACGUGACGCUCAUGCACGAAAGCGUGGGGACGCAAACAGG